ensembl:antisense 1700065D16Rik RIKEN cDNA 1700065D16 gene
ACUGUGAGGGAGGGAACGGCGGCCACAGGCCGCGGCGCGGGCCGAGGAGACCCGGCGACUCGAAGCUGGCGACGACGCGCGGCCCUACCUGGCCAACUCCCGCAGGGCGGGGAUCAUGGACGCCAGCUCCAGCCCGUGGUCGCCCAUGGUGACACCGAGCGGCUCUCAAAACAGCCGCCGCCAGCGCCGGGCUUCUCCACAGCCGCCUCCGGAGGAGAGGGCGGAGCGUCGACGGAGCCCCGCGAGGUCCAAAAUUCUCCUCCCGGAAGCCGCUCUCGGUUGCGGUUGGAACCCUGGGGAAAUCCCAGAGGCGACAGGGGCGGAGCCGACAGCGGACGUGCCCGCCCACUUUCCCUCCCAGGCGAGUGCGUGACCUACUCCACGGGUAUUUUUUGCUCAAACCUGGAUGCUCAGCGAAGCCGUAAGCUAGGAUCUGGGUCGGAGAGGGACCUGACGACCCAACAAAGUUAGAUAUUUCACUAUGUUCGAAUGGCAUAUUUAACUAGGUAAGGCCAUGCAGUAAUCAAUCCUUACAUUUGCUGUUUAGGACACAAGGGUAAUUAUUGAUACAACCUCCAAAAAUAAAAUUAAAAAGUGGUGGAAUGGCAGCCAGAUGCGCUCUGACUGCAAAGCUGUACUUUGAACACCCAUCCCUUUGCCCCGUUUCCUUCAGUGAUGCCCUGUGACGAGGAACUUUAAGCUGAAGCAAACCUUUUCCUUCCCAGGUCACUUUCCAUCAUUGUGUUCCAUCACAGCAAUAGAAACCUAACAUAGGACAGGCAACUAUGAAAAAUAGUGUAUCUGCUAAAAAGCAAGAAAAACUAGCUAUUUUUAAAUCAUGUUGAGAAAGAUGACAAUAAUGACAGAGCUGAGGGCACAGUCCAGUGGAAGAGCACUAACCUAGCUCAUGAGGCUCGGGCACAGAGGACCUAGAGUACUAAACAAACUACAGUUAAACGAUUUUAAAAAAGAAGGCAUAGUUGCACAUGCCUACAAUCCCCUUACUUUGGGUAUAGAGGCAGAAGGAUCAAGAGUUCAAAGCCAUCCUUAGCUCUAUAAUGAGCUCAAGGGCAGUCUGGGAUACAGGGGAACCCUGUCUCAAAAAACAAAACAAAACCAAAAGCCACUACCACCACCACCACCAACAACAACAACCCAGUAUGUAAUUCAUCACUGAGUAGCACUGCAGUUCUGAAGUGCAGGACCCCAAACAGCAGAGCUCUGGCAAAUCUAAUCCAAAAAGCAAUUUUUGAAACAAUUAUUUGUUUUUCACUUUACAUUCCAAUACCACCCCCUCUCCUCCCAGUGCCGUUGGUGGGCCACCAUGGGCAGUCCACAUAUGUCCUAGGCUAUCUGUGAAUAUGAUCCAACACAACUGAGGGACAGCAUCAUCACCCAGUGUCGUGCUUGUGGAUCAAGAUGUAAGCACUCAGCUAAUUCACCAGCGCCAUGCCUGCCUGCCUGUCGCUUUGGUCUCUGCCAUAAUAGUCAUGGAUUCCAACCCUCUGAAACUGUAAGCAAGCCCCCAAUAAACUGUUAAUCUC